UCUCCAAGAUCAAACUCACAAAUCAAAUAAAUCUCUUUCUUUAUCUUAUUCUAAACUUUCUGUAUACACUUUUACUUUUAUGUUGUUUCAGGAACUAGAUCUUGAUUACUAUGAAGAAUUUAGUCGAAGUUUGAAGAUUAAAGAGAAUCAACAAAAAACUGGUCAUGUUUCGAUUUUCAUUAGAGGUGAAAAAAAUCAAGUAACACUUCACCUGGGGCUACUCUACAGGUUAGGGGUUUAUGGAAGGUUGGUCGAUCUGGUUUAGCUUGGCUUUUCAUAUUCAGGAUUAUGCAAAGAAAUUUGAAGAAAUCUAAGGAAGGAUGUAAAGUUCAUGUGAAUGAGAGAGAUUUAAUAGAGCCAAACAUGAUUGUAGACGAAUUGUUACAACCCAAUAGUUACGACCAUUGAAGGAUUGAAAAGGCUUUCAAGGAUAACUUGAUUGUUGUACUUGAAGCCGUAUUUGAGAAGGUGGAAACUGUCGAAUUUGGUUGUGAUGGGGCUUUAACUAGUGGGUGGAACUGGUGCCUUGACUGGGACAUAAACCGGUGGAUGAUCUGAAGCCUUGACUGGGGAGUUAAACUGGCGGAUGGGCUGAGGCUUUAACUGAUGGAUGAACUUUCUUGCAAACCUAUAUUUUUUAUUCAAACUUUCUUGAACAAAAAGAUUAAAGAUGGUUAAUAUCUAACAUUCUUGAUUGUAUUUUUUGCAAAAACCAUUGACGCUAAAUGCUGCAGAGAACAAGAAGGCGGUGUCACAACCAAAGAAGAAAGCAAUUCGCAACUCGAAGAUAUUGAUGAAGAAAAGGUGGACCUUGCAGAUGUUUCAAGUAUAGAAGAGCAGGUGAUGGACUGAGGUAUUUGAGAUAAUAAGGUCUUAUUGAAAGAAUCUGAUGCACUCCGGAAAAUGAGGAAACUUCAAAGACCGGUGAUCACCAAACGGUUAUUAUUAUUGGAAAAAUGAUUUUAAUUUUCCAAGUUAUAACAAUUGAUGAGCAGACGAAGGUCAGAGCCAACAGAGAACAAAGAAGGGAAGACGACUACUGUUAGAGGCAGGAAGUCCAAAUUUUGUAUAUUCACAGGCAUAUAUUGCAUAAUAGCUGACUUCUUUGUUGUUCCUAGCAGGAAACUUCCAAGACGGGGGAUGGUCAGAUGGUUAAGAGACCUAAUGGUUUACAAGAAGGUACAAAUGGUGGCUUCGAGCGCUAAGGAUUUGGUUUUGGCACUGAAAGAAACAGUGCGAUAUGGUCUCUUCCUUCACACUUUUGCUGAGACUUUUGUUCCACUUGAUGAGUUAAUAGUCGCUUUGGGAGGACACGAGAGGCAUGUUUACAUUCUGCCUAUAUAAAAACACAUUUCUUAAGGUGAUUAUAUACAAUUACCACGGCCUUGAUUGUCAAUUAAAUUGUUGGUUUCAUGCCAUUUUCUGUUUAGUUUAUCACUUUCAAUCCUUAAUGAGUUACAAAACAACAAAAUGGAGGGCUUUAUUAGCAAGGUUAAUACAAAAUCUUCAAUGUUUCUCACUGGAUUCAAGACACAACAUACAAGAUACAAGUUUGGCUCUUCUUAUGCGUGCAGUUGUCUUGGAAUCACAUUGUGGAAUAAAAAGCAAGCUAUUUGGAACCAUUUGUAAAUCUCGCUUAUUUGUUUAGAAUGUAUGUGCAUAUGCUUUGUACACAUAUUUGUUUAGACAAUUUUGAAAACUUCAUCUUGUCACCAA